rnacentral:lncRNA from 1 species
AUGCCACACUCGUUCCAGCCAGGGACUCGGGAGAGGGAGAAGGAGGUAAGAGUGAGACUCAGAGCGCGGCGCCGCGUGUCUCCGCUGCGCGAGCACCGGCGUUCCUUAAAUGAGUGUGAAGUGGGCUGCUCACAUCAGCUGUUUGUUGUCGUCGCGGCUCGCGGAAUCAGCGUGGAACCAGUGGAACUACUCACCAGUGUUCUACCUGCUGGACUACGUGGAUCCAUCGACCCAGUAACAAUGCAGAAACACACCAGAAUCAUUGCAGCACCAGGGUCGAAUCUGGAAAUUAAAGGUAAACAAUCAACUGGAAAAAUAUCAAAACACUUUAAACUGGAAUAGUUGAAAUAGUUAAAAGUAAUUAUUGUGGCCACUUGAGGGCAGCAGAAAUAUGUUUAUAUGCUUAUGGAUUUACAGCAUAGAUUCUGGUCGGUCCUCAAGAACUUCCCCGGCAUUUUAGCGCCUGACUAAUAAAACGCAUCUGAUCCAGGUCA